rnacentral:rRNA from 1 species
CACGUAGGGCGCAAGCGUUGUCCGGAAUUAUUGGGCGUAAAGAGCUCGUAGGCGGACUGUCACGUCUGCUGUGAAAAGCUGGGGCUUAACCCUGGCCUUGCAGUGGAUACGGGCAGACUAGAGGUAGGUAGGGGAGAAUGGAAUUCCCGGUGUAGCGGUGAAAUGCGCAGAUAUCGGGAAGAACACCCGUGGCGAAGGCGGUCUCUGGGACGGUAC